rnacentral:rRNA from 1 species
UACGUAGGGUGCGAGCGUUGUCCGGAAUUAUUGGGCGUAAAGAGCUUGUAGGCGGUUUGUCGCGUCUGCUGUGAAAAUCCGGGGCUCAACCCCGGACUUGCAGUGGGUACGGGCAGACUAGAGUGUGGGUAGGGGAGACUGGAAUUCCUGGUGUAGCGGUGAAAUGCGCAGAUAUCAGGAGGAACACCCGAUGGCGAAGGCAGGUCUCUGGGCCACUACUGAC